rnacentral:rRNA from 1 species
GUAAGCCUACGGGGGGCAGCAGUAGGGAAUCUUCCACAAUGGGCGAAAGCCUGAUGGAGCAACGCCGCGUGGGUGAAGAAGGUCUUCGGAUCGUAAAACCCUGUUGUUAGAGAAGAAAGCGCGUGAGAGGAACUGUUCACGUUUCGACGGUAUCUAACCAGACAGCCAAGGCUAACUACGUGACAGCAGCCGCGGUAAUACGUAGGUGGCAAGCGUUAUCCGGAUUAAUUGGGCGUAAAGGGAACGCAGGCGGUCUUUUAA